rnacentral:rRNA from 1 species
UUGUCUAUGCAGUGGAUCACUUGGCUCGGGGGMCGAUGAAGAUCGCAGCUAGCUACGAGUCGGAAUGUGAACUGCAGGACACAUGAACAUCGACAUAUUGAACGCAUCAAGUCGGGAAAAUGACACUUGAAGGUGAUG